CAGCAGCCACGGUAAAACAGAGGGUGCGAGCGUUAAUCGGAUUUACUGGGCGUAAAGCGUGCGUAGGCGGCUUCUUAAGUCGGAUGUGAAAUCCCUGAGCUUAACUUAGGAAUUGCAUUCGAUACUGGGAAGCUAGAGUAUGGGAGAGGAUGGUAGAAUUCCAGGUGUAGCGGUGAAAUGCGUAGAGAUCUGGAGGAAUACCGAUGGCGAAGGCAGCCAUCUGGCCUAAUACUGACGCUGAGGUACGAAAGCAUGGGGAGCAAACAGGAUUAGAUACCCCGGUAGUCCCUGUCUCUUAUAC
rnacentral:rRNA from 1 species